GCACACCUGGCUCUGUCCCCCGAAUGUUGCUGGGGGGCCGGAUGUAUUGGGGCGCCCGUUUUGGUCUACUUCGGGGAGCCUAAGAGGUGCCCCGAGCCCGGACUGAGCCCAGCCUGCAGGCGAGAGGCCCUUCCAGCCGCUGCCCGCACCUCAGCGCUGCAGAGCCUGCCGCCCAGGGUCUUCUCUACGGCGGCCGCCCAGGCAGUCUCGACCUCCGAGG
rnacentral:lncRNA from 9 species